rnacentral:lncRNA from 1 species
GACGGUCUCGAUCUCCUGACCUCGUGAUUCACCCGCCUCGGCCUCCUGGCUCAACCUCUUUUACUAGAGAUUGUUUUUUUUUUGCUCCCUUUCCCUGGAGGCUCAGCUCCCCCACUGGAGAUUUCUUGCACUCCUUUACUUUACUCCACACUCGCUUUGCACUUAAUUGUGCAUCUUAUUUACACACUUUUAACCUCCAAACUGUCCCUACCACCAAGGAAGUACUUCACCACCCCCACAGUUUUUCUUACCUUGGUCUGUGCAUAGCGUUACCUGCUCACCACAGUAACUGUAGGCCUUUUCUUCCUGUGUUGCUAAGAGUCUGGGUUUAUUGGUUGCACUGGGUGGGUCCCGAUUCUUUACCCUUGAGGCCACUGCAAUGAGUUAGCGGGAUGCGUCUCCUCAUGAGAAGUGAUCAGAGACCCUUUCCCGGAGGAGAAUGAGGUCCCCAUAUGGGCCACCAAAUUUGUUGGAAACAAAUGCUCAGUGCUGCAAAGAAGAACCAGCACUGAGACAAAGGAUCUCUCAGCAAGGCAAAUUUGCUUCUGCAGAAGGGUGCUUCUUGUAGGUCUGGUCGCCACGAGAGCACCCCAAACAAAGGAGGGAAGGGGUUUUUAUUCCUAACACAGCUUGUGCCCGCUACUGUGUCCUGUCUCCAUUGGCUGGAGCUGGACCAAUCCAAGCUGAACCCGGUUGGCUAACUUGAAAAGUGCAAGAAUGCGGUUACACUGGUGGGGGGUGGGAGGAACAGUUUCUGCGGGGAGGGUCGUUGUGACGGGAGGGGUAAUUCACAGAGUGGGUAGCAGAUGUGGAAUGUGGGCUGUAUAGAUAAGGACUGGUGGGAAGGUUGUUUACCAGGGCAGGGGGACACAGAGAGUAAGGAAGUCUGGCCUUGAAAGGAGGGAACAGAGGACAAGGAAACUUAAACAAGCUAAACCUUUGAAGAAGAACUUCUUACUGUAUUUAACACUAGCCUGGCCAACAUGGUGAAACCCCGUCUCUACUAAAAAUACAAAAAAGCCGGGCAUGAUGGCCCAUGCCCAGUUACUUGGGAGGCUGAGGAACAAGAAUUACUUGAACCCGGGAGGUGGAGGUUGCAGUGAGCCAAGAUUGUGCCACUGCACUCCAGCCUGGGCAACAGAACGAGAGACUCUGUCUCAAAAAAGAAAAAAAAAACCUGAAAAAUUGUUAAGAUGAUAAAUUUCAUGGUAUGUGUUUUCUACUAUAAUUAAAACAGUUGUAUAAAUAUUAGCCAUUGUUAUUUCACAGGUGAGGAAACAAGAGAUCCCAACACAGAGCUGGACCCAAACCAGUGCUCUUGCCAAACAUUGGAGGCCUCUGUGUUCCUCAGAUUGAGGAGGUCCUGAUGAGGACAUUAUGAGGGGCCCUGUUUUGCAGUUAUCACCGCAGAAGUGGGCAGCACUCUCUGUAGGAAGUCUGGUCUCGGCAAUCAUCCAGCCAACUGGGGUUAUCUCAGGUUAUAACUUGGUUCUGAGGCCCCGACUUGCAGCCUGAAGGUGGCUUGGUUUACUUACCUACUGUCACAUUUGGUAACGGCUGAAGGGUAGAAGGGUGCAAACCUCACUGUAUUGUCUUAUUACAAUCUGCUCCUUGUCAACCAGACAGCUGGGUUCAGAGAAAGCUUAGAAGCCCAUAUAGAAAGCCUUGCGUGCCCUUGCGAGAGACAGAGUGGAGAGAGAGAGGAGCAUUUACCAACUCACUCAAGCAGUGUAGCUUUCUCUGCAGGGAAAGUGUGUUGGUGACAAAGGGGUGAGGGUUCCCAGAACAGUCAGGAAGUUUAUUUACUUAGUUAUUAUUAUUUUUUGAGACGGAGUCUCACUCUAUCGCCCAGGCUGGAGUGCAAUGGCACAAUCUCAGCUCACUGCAAGUUCUGCCUCCCAGGUUCAUGCCAUUCUCCUGCCUCAGCCUCCCGAGUGUCUGGGACUACAGGCAGCCACC